AACAGCUCAAAUUUGAAAUCUGGCCCCUUGGGGGUCCGAGUUGUAAUUUGUAGAGGGUGUUUCGGGCGCGAUGCCGGUCUAAGUUCCUUGGAACAGGACGUCGUAGAGGGUGAGAAUCCCGUAUGCGACCGGCGAUCAAGCCUGUGUGAAGCCCCUUCGACGAGUCGAGUUGUUUGGGAAUGCAGCUCAAAAUGGGUGGUAAAUUUCAUCUAAAGCUAAAUAUUGGCCAGAGACCGAUAGCGGACAAGUAGAGUGAUCGAAAGAUGAAAAGCACUUUGGAAAGAGAGUCAAACAGUACGUGAAAUUGUUGAAAGGGAAGCGCUUGCAAUCAGACCGGUCCGGAGGCGAUCAGCCGCUGCUCGUCAGCGGUGCACUCGCCUGCGAUCCGGCCAGCAUCGGUUCGGGCGCGGGAUAAAAGUCCCGGGAAUGUAGCUUCUUUCGGGGAGUCUUAUAGCCCGGGUCGCAAUGCCGCCCGCCCGGACCGAGGACCGCGCUUCGGCUAGGAUGCUGGCGUAAUGGUUGCAAGCGACCCGUCUUGAAACACGGACCAAGGAGUCUAACAUCUAUGCGAGUGUUUGGGUGUCAAACCCAGGCGCGGAAUGAAAGUGAACGGAGGUGGGAACCCGUCAGACGGCGCACCAUCGACCGAUCCAGAUGUCUUCGGAUGGAUUUGAGUAUGAGCAUAGCUGUUGGGACCCGAAAGAUGGUGAACUAUGCCCGGAUAGGGUGAAGCCAGAGGAAACUCUGGUGGAGGCUCGCAGCGGUUCUGACGUGCAAAUCGAUCGUCAAAUCUAGGCAUAGGGGCGAAAGACCAAUCGAACCAUCUAGUAGCUGGUUCCUGUCG
rnacentral:rRNA from 1 species